GACGAACGCUGGCGGCGUGCUUAACACAUGCAAGUCGAACGGAAAGGCCCUGCUUUUGUGGGGUGCUCGAGUGGCGAACGGGUGAGUAACACGUGAGUAACCUGCCCUUGACUUUGGGAUAACUUCAGGAAACUGGGGCUAAUAUCGGAUAGGAGCUCCUGCUGCAUGGUGGGGGUUGGAAAGUUUCGGCGGGUGGGGAUGGACUCGCGGCUUAUCAGCUUGUUGGUGGGGUAGUGGCUUACCAAGGCUUUGACGGGUAGCCGGCCUGAGAGGGUGACCGGCCACAUUGGGACUAAGAUACGGCCCAGACUCCUACGGGAGGCAGCAGGGGGGAAUAUUGCACAAUGGGCGGAAGCCUGAUGCAGAAACGCCGCGUGCGGGAUGACGGCCUUCGGGUUGUGAACCGCUUUCGCCUGUGACGAAGCGUGAGUGACGGUAAUGGGUAAAGAAGCACCGGCUAACUACGUG
rnacentral:rRNA from 1 species